rnacentral:rRNA from 1 species
CCUACGGGGGGCAGCAGUAGGGAAUCUUCCACAAUGGACGAAAGUCUGAUGGAGCAACGCCGCGUGAGUGAAGAAGGGUUUCGGCUCGUAAAGCUCUGUUGGUAGUGAAGAAAGAUAGAGGUAGUAACUGGCCUUUAUUUGACGAUAAUUACUUAGAAAGUCACGGCUAACUACAUGCCAGAAGCCGCGGUAAUACGUAGGUGGCAAGCGGUGUCCGGAUUUAUGGGGCUGAAAGCGAGUGCAGGCGGCUCAGUAAGUCUGAUGGUAAAGCCUUGGGCUCAACCGGAGAAUUGCAUCAGAAACUGUUGAACUUGAGUGCAGAAGAGGAGAGUGGAACUCCAUGUGUAGCGGUGGAAUGCGUAGAUAUAUGGAAGAACACCAGUGGCGAAGGCGGCUUUCUGGUCUGCAACUGACGCUGAGGCUCGAAAGCAUGGGUAGCGAACAGGAUUAGAUACCCUGGUAGUC